GUGAAAGAUCAUUUUGUAAGGUGAAAAUGGGCCUGCCUUAUUUAUUCUUUAUGCUGUACUUUCCAAACAAGAUACACCUUUAUAUUGUUCAUACAGAUUCAUGUACUCUAGGUAAUGAGUCUUUUAUCAUCUUUCUGUUCUCUGGAGUAGAAUGAAGAAAUACGGAAGAUGUUAGUGGAAACUGUCUAAAAAUGUAUAAAAUUUGUGUCUGUGUAUCUUGUCAGUUUUAUAUUUUGAAUCUCUCUGUGCCGCUCCCUCUGUGCCAGAUGUGGUUUGGAAGGACAAAAAGGACCUUCGUAAUCCCCCAUUUAUAAGAGAAAUUAACCCAACGCCUGCCUGAGCCAGCCAGGAUUCCAUGCGAGUGCUGUGGGCCUCUACUCCUUUAAAACAAAUCCACACUCCUUCAUAGUUUAAACCAGAGGCAGGAGGCCAAGUCUGAUGCACAGCUGAGAGUUAGAACUUGUUUUUCUGUCACAUUUCCAAAUGUUUCUCUCUGCCCUGUUAAAUUUUCUUUGAGUUAACAUUUUGAGAGGAAGGGGCGAGAAGGAAACAUUGGAUGGUUGGUACUUUUUUUGUUGGCUUCAAUUAAUGCUAACCAAACAGUUUCUGCCUGUGCGGAAUGUGGGAUAGUUACCUACAGUGUUGAACAAUGAAAAAUGCUACCUUACCCAUUUUGUCUUUAUUUGUUUUGACUGUAGUAGAACUUGCUCUUCCACUGUUUUGAAUUUUGUGUUCUCAUGGGUGGGGUAACUUCAGGACUUCUUAAACUGCUCAGCUUGUCAGUAAGUAAUAACUAACAAGAAUAGCAGCACCCAUCUAAGAUGCAGAAUUUAGCUGGAGAGCCUUGUAGUGAAAACAUGAUGCUGUCGGGUCUAGAAAGAACUUCAGGUGAAGUUGGGUCUGUGGAGAGAGGAGCUCUGUAUGUCCCAGUUAGCUGGUUAUUAAGAGCUGGAGCCCAAAGUACCUUUGCUGCUGCUGGUGGGGUUCUUUCAGUGUUGGAACUUAGUAUACACACUGUGGAUAGAAUUGAUGUGACAGCAUUUAAAUACUAACUUCCCAUCUGCUCUGCAUGUGCUCCUGAAAAAAGGGGGUCAGGGUUUAAUCUUUCCGUCUAAAGGUGUGGGUGAGUACACACAUAAGCACACGUGUGCAUUUAUGUGGUGUUCAUGCUUUCCCCGCUCCCUGCCUCAGGAAAAUGAAGACAGAAGGAUAUUGUUUUGUAACUUUCCAGUUAACUGGCUUCUUGGAAUAUAUGGUCACUGCCUGUAACCACCUCGUUCCUGGGCUUUGCUUUUUUUUUUAAUAGCCCUGGGAACCUGCAAUUGAACCUACAAGUGACAGAGUGUGAGUGUAUUGUGGAGACCUUCAAGCCCUUUUGCUUUUUAAAUCACCAAAACUGAAAAAUGAUCAAUGAGACUGUGAUUUCCUAAUACCCAUUGGUUUGGGAAACAGCUGUGCUGAACCCUGGCCCUGUGCCCAUCCCCCCCAUCCCCCCCCCCCCCCAAUUAGGAGGGAGAUCCCUAAAAGCAAGACUUGCUAGGGCAGAUUCCUGCCCCUAGAGUUAUUGCCUCUGGCCCUGGCUGUCACCUUUCAGAAUAUUUUUAGCCUCUGGUCUAAAGCACAGUGGCAGCCUCGGCCUGUAAUACUGUCUACACAUAUCUAACUUCGCAUCUAGCAGUGUAGUGAGUUCCUACAUUUGCUGGCCUCCUCAAUGCAAAGUCCGAACACAACAAACAAGAAGUUCCGUUUGGAGUUCUCUGAGUGCCAAGACUGUGAGGACCAGAGGCCUUUCCUCCCCAAACUCAGCUCUGGUCUGUACAAGGAAACUGGCCGAUUUCCCUGUCUCUGAGCCUAUUUCUACUUCCAGCCUUCCUUGUUUUAAGUGUACAGAAAUUGCCCUUUGGAAGUCGACAUUUUUUUUGCCUGUCCCUUUUAUGUGUCAUCCCUGGGCCUGCUUCCCUUUCUCUCUCACAUGCUCUUUCCAGCCACUGAGCUUAAUGCUUCUCCCCUGGACCACCCUAGCAGCCUCAACUGUGGGUGUCCUUUCCCUCUGGUUUGGUUUCUUCUUUCUCCAUCUGCUGCCAAGAACCCCUCCAGCAGCCAAGGCAGCCCUUGUUCCUGCAUGUAUUACCUAGGGCAACACUGAAGAAUAAAUAAGUCUGAUCCAUUCCGUUUCUCUGGAAUCCUGUACAUGUUUCUAGAACAGAGCUCUGUGGAAAGAGACUCAUGAGCAUAGAGAAACCUAUUUUGAUAUCCUUAGAAGGUAGGAGAUUUUUAUAGUCUCAUUCAGGACUUAAAAGAAGUCUAGAGUAAGAUUUUUAACCUGCCACCCUCCUCUUAAACACAUGUACUACUGUCUUCCUGUUAGUAUCUUGUCCUACUCCAAUGAAAUUACUUAAGAAACUAUACUCUUAUAGAUCUUAAGUUCAGAUUUCCUAUAGGUAGAUAGCUGAUAUGUAGGCUGAGUCGGAAUGGUAAAAUUACAUUCGGUUCAUCGAGUUCACACCUUCCUGACAGAUUUUUUUUUCUUAGUUUUUCAGGAAAAUUAUCAAUGACAUCAGUUAUUAACCAAUGCAACAUUUUUUCCUUAAGUAUGGUACAUACACUCUCCUAGGUUUUGUAUGAAACUGUUCAAACAGAAAGUUAUUCUAGAUGAAUAUGCUUUUGUUUCCUGCUCCACAAAAGGGAGAGAGAUCCAGAGUUCUCCCCAGUCCAGCCGAGAUACUUCCUUAUGGUGCUUCAGAGCUUCCUAGGCUCAGACUCCUCAACAUUUAUAAAAACUGACCCUCUGAAGUUAAGAUUAUGUGUUUUAGAGCUGGAGAUAGAGCACGUGUGUUUAUUUCUUUGAAGCAUGUGCCCUUUUUGGAAUGGUUUCUUGUUUUGCUCAGCCUUGAGGACUGAGUGUAGAGGCUGUACUCCACUGAUCUGGUAAGAGCAAAGGGGCCAUGGGCACAGCGUUCUCUUAUUCUCCCACAGUCGCCUGUUUUUUCAACCUAUAAUUGCACCCAGAGGAUCUGAGGAAGUAGACUUAUCAGCUAAUUAUAUGAAAUAAAAUUAAUUUUAGCUUCCUUAACACAAGCAGAAUCUUAAUUAGGUACAUAUCAAAAUUGUUUCUGUAUGUUCCAGGCUGAUUUCUGUGACUUUCAGUUUGGUUUGCGGGCCCAUCUUAAUCCAAGAGAUGGAGUCCCUUGAUCUUAAAGUCGAGUUCUGCUAUUAGAGAAAUCGAGUAAGGUCCUGCACUUGCAGUGCCAGAUGGCCUGAUUAAACACCAAUAAAUGUUUCUUCCAAAAUACAAUAAGCACAAAUAGUUAAGUGCACAGCCUGUGGGGAAUUCUACUGUUUGAAAACUUCUGUGCAGCACUUUGCAAGGCUGUCGAGCCUGGGGAAGCUCUGUCUGUGCAUUGCCAAGGCAAUGCCUGGUUCUCUGGGCUACGUCGUUUUCAGUUAAUUUUUUUUUUUACUUUCCUGGUGGAAAGGAGAGGCAGCUGCCUCUAAAUAUUGGUAUUUCACAGCAAACCUUAAAUCCUUAUGGCCUUACUCGUGUGGAAAGGUUGAUUUGUAGCUGCUCUCUUGCUCUUCCUAAGAGACCCGUUGGGUGGUAAAGAUCUCAGGGAAUGAAACAUUAAAAAUGAAUGAGGGGACUGGAGUAGUUUGUCUGAGGUGAGGGUUGGGAGGGGCUGGGCGGGGGAGGUUUAACAAAAGGCACUGGCGUUUUAAAUGCACAGAAAUGCCAUCCAUCAAUAAUAAAUGGUGUGGCAUAGAACAGAUGUGCCAAAUUGAGUUAUUACAGCAUAUGGAUCAGUUCAUAGAGGGGGGAAAGUAAGCAGCAUAGCUGGUGUUUUUAAAUUAUCUGUUUGAGAGCUUUAGAAUACAUUUUUGAAUGUCCUGUUUUUACCCUCUGACAGCUGCUAGUUGGAAAUAGAAAACGUGUGGAAUUACCAAACAUGCCAAUUAAAUUUUGAGUGUUUUUAAAGUAAGAAUUAUUGAGAGUGAAUAAAUUUUUUUUUUUUUUUUUCUGAAGAGGGAGACAGAAUCUGGAAAUGAAUUUCUGGCCCUUCAUGGCUGAGUGCCUGCUUUUUAAGACCUCGAGUUGUAAUUAAUUGUAUGAGGAAUGAAAUUACAUUACAAAACUUAAGUCAUGUGAAACUGUUACCUAGUGUUUUCUACUACAUUGAUUAUAUCUCUAGGUAUCUCUUCAGUACUUACUUAAACUACAGAGGACCACUCAGGAAACUUCUCUCAGGCUUUGAGGUUGCUUCAUUACCCUCAGCAUCUUGAUUCAAGGGCUAAUUCUAUACAUAUGCUCCGAGCGAAUUAUUUCACCUAAAGGAGGAACAACAAGAGAAAUACCAGCUUCGUUGUCUCAUAGAGAAAAUCACUCCUAGGAAAUUGGACAGACAGAAAUCCAUUAGGUAAACUGGAAUAUUUUGUAAGUGUAGAUAGUAUGCAGCGGUCAAGCUUUAAGUUUUACUUGAUCUUCUAGAAGUAAUGGGAGUUACUGUCAGUGUCACAGGCAUAGCAGAGGACAAUAACGUGAGAGUGUUUGAAAUGACUCCCGAGUUGGAAUUGGUGGACUUGGUGAGAGCUGGAACUAUUCCACUCAUCUUAAUAUUGACCCUUGCUUGCCUUUUUAGAAACUUGUUUGGAAUUGGAUCUCUCUGGUGUGUUGUCGCAACAAAACUAAUUCCUCUGUGUUUUUCCUAAGGUGAACUAAAAAGUACUUAAUUCUUGCAGAUAACGCCAAGUUGGUUUAAAUUUGAGGUUUGUUAGACUGGAAGGACAAAUGGCCUAGCUGUUUUAGAAGAGUUCAUUUACUCUUUGAGUGUGGAUGUUCUAGUUGAAAAUGAGGAGAGUGGCUGUAUGAAAAGUCUAUUACUCUUAUUGUAGCCGUCUGUAUUAACUUUCAACUCUUCAGGUGCAGAAUUUACUUGAAUAAAUCUUUUUCACCUCCAAGGGAUCCCAGCUUACCUUAAAAAAGCACUUGUCAAACUGUCUUUAGAGCCACCAAAUAAAUCUAUUUUAUAGUCCCAUUAGAUAUCUAGCUCAAAAUCCCACUCGCUCUGGAAGGUCGUAUGGUUGGAUGCACAACAAAUUUCCUGAAAUCAUCUCUGGUACACCUCCUUCAGGUUGUUAGGAAGGUGUUGAAAUGUGAGAAGGCUGGUCAUGAAAUUAAAUUGUGGCUCAGGGUAAUUAGGAAGGGAGAAAACCAAGCAUUUUCUUAGUGCAUUGUCUGGGUUUUAGUUGCAGCUGCAAACAACGGAUAUGAAUUUAACCAGUUGCUACAGUGCAGCUGGUUCAGAUGUGGCUUUAUAACUGGCUGAAGUGAAAUGAACAGGCUGGAAAAUUCCAGUUAGGUAACACUGGUGGUAACACGUGGAAUUAAAUAGUGUGAGCAAAUGCUGGCCGAGCUGGGGAAAAAGCCCUUCGGACAUAAACUUGAGGGUGGUGGUGAGGACUUGUAGAGAGCGGGGUGGGGAGGGGCCAGCAUGGCCUUUUAAACAAGGGUCUAUUGUUUUGAUUAGCCCCCUUGCAGGAGGUGGAAGUUUCCCUCCAUCCAGAGUAAUCUGUAGAGUGUUUGGCUUGUCUACCUCCCUCCUUGACUGAAGUCACCUGAUACUUCUUUUUUUCUUCAAGAAGAAAGAAUAAUUGGGAUUGACACAUACACUCUGUUGAUGCUAUGUAUAAAAUAGAAAACUGAUGGGAGCAUACUGUACAGCACAGGGAACUCUACUUAAUGCACUGUGGUGACCUAAAUGGGCGGGAAGUCCAAAAGGAGAGGGAUAGGUGUGUAUGUAUGGCUGAUUCGUUUUGCUGUGCAGUAGAAGCUAACACAACAUUGUAAAGUAACUCUACUCCAGUAAAGAUUAAUUUAAAAUAAAAUAGUUCUCUGAAAAAAAAAAAAGAAGAAGAAGAAGCUGUUACCUCAGUUAUUGACAAUAACUCAGAUCUCAAAGCAUAGUCUUUUUUCCCCCUUGGGGACCGUUUUCCCACCUGUGUGACCCAGAAGGCCCUGUCUCUUCCUCGUCAUCUUCCUUCCAUCCCCUGCGGCAGAGAUGUUGAGGAUGUUGGAGACAAGGUGCUCAAGGUUCAUUUUUUUUUAAUAAUUGUUCUAAUUAAGGAAAUAAAAUCAGUUCACUCAAGGGAAGCUUUUGUAUUAUCAGUAGUUUUUUCUCCAUGAAUUGUCUGCCUAACUUGGCGGGUUGAGAGUUGACUGGGGAACAGAUUUCUGAGAAGUCGAAGGGCCAUCGUGCUAUUUGGGGAAAACAUUUGCUGUAACUAGGUUUAGGGUAUUUAGUCUGCCAGUGCUUGGGAGCUGCAUUUGCUAAGUGAGUUUGCUGUCACAGCGAUUAGUCAGUCAUGUGAAACAUUUGAUUAAGGGACUUAAGAGAAAUCUUUCCUGAGGCACAUGAUUGGUAGCUGUUGCUGGGAUGGCCCCCUCCUCAGCUUUCCAUUUCCUCCCUCAGUGUUUAUAAGUAAGUUUGUAGUGAUGAGUCAUGGGAUAUGGUUUUAGCGUCCAAGGGAGAAACUUUUUAGAAAUUGAAGUUCUGGUACGGGGCUUCCCUGGUGGCGCAGUGGUUGAGAGUCCGCCUGCCGAUGCAGGGGAUGCGGGUUCGUGCCCCGGUCCAGGAAGAUCCCACCUGCCGCGGAGCGGCUAGGCCCAUGAGCCAUGGCCGCUGAGCCUGUGCAUCCGGAGCCUGUGCUCCACAACGGGAGAGGCCACAACAGUGAGAGGCCCGCGUACCGCAAAAAAAAAAAAAAAAAAAAAAAAAAAUUUCUG